UACGUAGGGUCCAAGCGUUAUCCGGAAUCACUGGGCGUAAAGCGUGCGUAGGUGGCGUGUUAAGUGUGAUGUUAAAUCGUGGGGCUCAACCCUGUCGGCGCAUCACAUACUGGCAUGCUAGAGGACAGCAGAGGCAAGUGGAAUUUGUAGUGUAGCAGUGAAAUGCGUAGAUAUUACAAGGAACACCAAUGGCGAAGGCAGCUUGCUGGGCUACUCCUGACACUGAGGUACGAAAGCGUGGGGAGCGAACAGG
rnacentral:rRNA from 1 species